rnacentral:rRNA from 1 species
AGUGAACGCUGGCGGUAGGCCUAACACAUGCAAGUCGAACGGCAGCACAGAGGAGCUUGCUCCUUGGGUGGCGAGUGGCGGACGGGUGAGGAAUACAUCGGAAUCUACUCUGUCGUGAGGGAUAACGUAGGGAAACUUACGCUAAUACCGCAUACGACCUACGGGUGAAAGCAGGGGAUCUUCGGACCUUGCGCGAUUGAAUAAGCCGAUGUCGGAUUAGCUAGUUGGCGGGGUAAAGGCCCACCAAGGCGACGAUCCGUAGCUGGUCUGAGAGGAGGAUCAGCCACACUGGAACUGAGACACGGUCCAGACUCCUACGGGAGGCAGCAGUGGGGAAUAUUGGACAAUGGGCGCAAGCCUGAUCCAGCCAUACCGCGUGGGUGAAGAAGGCCUUCGGGUUGUAAAGCCCUUUUGUUGGGAAAGAAAUCCAUCUGGUUAAUACCCGGGUGGGAUGACGGUACCCAAAGAAUAAGCACCGGCUAACUUCGUGCCAGCCGCCGCCGUAA